rnacentral:rRNA from 1 species
UAGGGAAUUUUGCGCAAUGGGGGAAACCCUGACGCAGCAACACCGCGUGAAUGUUAAGCCCUUCGGGGUGUAAAGUUCUGUCAGUAGGGACGAAAUCUGACCGUACCUACAAAGGAAGCACCGGCUAACUCCGUGCCAGCAGCCGCGGUAAUACGGGGGGUGCAAGCGUUGUCCGGAAUCAUUGGGCGUAAAGCGUUCGUAGGCGGUAUAUCAAGUCUGGUGUUAAAGCCCGGGGCUCAACUCCGGUUCGGCACUGGAUACUGGUAAACUAGAAUGCGGUAGAGGUAAGGGGAAUUCCUGGUGUAGCGGUGAAAUGCGUAGAGAUCAUACAGAACACCGAUUGCGAAGGCAGCUUACCAAACUAUAUCUGACGUUGAGGCACGAAAGCGUGGGUAGCAAACA